rnacentral:tRNA from 1 species
GAGUAAGACAGGCCCUCAGUGAGAACUGCUAAUUCCUCAUUUCCAUGGUUCAAAUCCAUGGCUUACUCA